rnacentral:rRNA from 1 species
UACAGAGGGGGCAAGCGUUGUUCGGAAUUACUGGGCGUAAAGGGCGCGUAGGCGGCCGCCUAAGUCAGACGUGAAAUCCCUCGGCUCAACCGGGGAACUGCGUCUGAUACUGGGUGGCUUGAAUCCGGGAGAGGGAUGCGGAAUUCCAGGUGUAGCGGUGAAAUGCGUAGAUAUCUGGAGGAACACCGGUGGCGAAGGCGGCAUCCUGGACCGACAUUGACGCUGAGGCGCGAAAGCCAGGGGAGCAAACGGG